CUAAGGCACAGCCCUGCGGUUUUCCAAAGGUGCAGUACGGCGAGUGUUGGAUUAUCCGGUCUGGAUGGAGCAAAACCAAAAUAUAGGCUGGGCGUGUCCCUGCGUUCGAACCCUUGGACUCGCGUAUAAAAGGCUCUGCUGGGGUGUAUCUUCCAACCAUUUAACCUCUUCCUCAGUCUGGCUUAAAGGAUUUGGAGACGACCUCCCUCUGGGAAGCAGACAGAUAAGCAAAGAAGUCUUUGGAGAAAUGGACUCUACUUGGUGAUUCCGUCUAAACAUAAGAAAAACUGUUUAGACGGAAAUUUUGAGUCUUUAAAGAUAGGCCUGGGAGAGGUUGGCAGAUGGUGACAAUUACUCUUCAAAUACAGCUGGUGGCUGUCAGCGCCUUCCUGCAUUUGGAGAACUUGGGGAAGUUACACCACUUUGUAAUGUCAAAGUUUAUCUACAGUUGUGCUUGGUAUUUUGUUUCACUAGUAUUUCUAUCAUUCAGACGCUGCUUGGACAUUUUGAAGUAGUUGUGGAGAAUGAGUGAUGUUUUUAAUGGUUUUUUUUUUAAUGAGUAUGUUUAUGUAGUAAACAUUACUACAUAAAAUUAACCAUUUUAUAGGGAGUAAUUCAGUGGCAAUUAAUACAUUCAGUAUGCUGUGCAACCACCACUUCUACCUACUUCCGAAUUAUUUUAUCAGCCCAGAAGAAAAGGAAACCCUGUGCCCAUUAAGCAAUUAUUCCUCAUUCCCCCAUUCACCCCAGCUUCUGGCAACUGGCAAUCUGCCUAUAUGGAUUUACAGAUUCUGGAUUUCUGAUUGGUCAUCUUUUGCCCCCAGCAGCUGUGGGUCUUCCUUUGCCUUACACCGUUGACUGCAAUCUGAGUCAAAUAGACAAGUACUUAUAACUGGAAUCAGUCUUGCUGAUAGCCCCAGACAUGUCAGAACAAACACAAGACUGUGAGAAGGAGGGCUGCUCUCCCAGGAACCAAAGACCAGGGCCCCAUCCUGAGGACACAGGCUGCUAUCUUCAAGACCUGCCGCGCUGGGGAAGGAGAUGAAGGAAGGGCACGGAAACACAGAGCUUUCCUGCCAUGUUCGUGUUACUUUUAUUCUGAUUGUGCAUCUGCUUGGUUGGCAUAAAUCUUUUCCAGGGUUUGUAUAAA